rnacentral:rRNA from 1 species
CCUACGGGUGGCAGCAGUGAGGAAUAUUGGUCAAUGGACGAGAGUCUGAACCAGCCAAGUAGCGUGAAGGAUGACUGCCCUAUGGGUUGUAAACUUCUUUUAUAUGGGAAUAAAACGUUCCACGUGUGGGAUUUUGUAUGUACCAUACGAAUAAGGAUCGGCUAACUCCGUGCCAGCAGCCGCGGUAAUACGGAGGAUCCGAGCGUUAUCCGGAUUUAUUGGGUUUAAAGGGAGCGUAGGUGGAUUGUUAAGUCAGUUGUGAAAGUUUGCGGCUCAACCGUAAAAUUGCAGUUGAAACUGGCAGUCUUGAGUACAGUAGAGGUGGGCGGAAUUCGUGGUGUAGCGGUGAAAUGCUUAGAUAUCACGAAGAACUCCGAUUGCGAAGGCAGUUCACUGGACUGCAACUGACACUGAGGCUCGAAAGUGUGGGUAUCAAACAGGAUUAGAUACCCCAGUAGUC